CCCCCUUUAGCUCAGUUGGUUAGAGCAGGCGACUCAUAAUCGCUUGGUCGCUGGUUCAAGUCCAGUAUGGGGGACCA
rnacentral:tRNA from 1 species